CCCCACUGCUAUCGGGAUGGGACUAAGACAUGCUAGUCGAGCGUCUCCAAGCCAUGGAAGAGACGCGGCACACAGCUCAGUAACACGUGGCUAACCUGCCCUUGGGACAAGGACAACUCCGGGAAACUGGAGCUAAUCCCUGAUAAGUGAGAACUCCUGGAAUGGAUUCUCGCUCAAAGGACGUUUAGACCAUGCUUCUAAGCGCCGCCCAAGGAAGGGGCCGCGACCGAUCAGGUUGUUGGUGAGGUAACGGCUCACCAAGCCUUUAACCGGUACGGGCCGUGAGAGCGGAAGCCCGGAGAUGGGCACUGAGACAAUGGCCCAGGCCCUACGGGGCGCAGCAGUCGCGAAAACUCCGCAAUACACGAAAGUGUGACGGGGCCAUCCCGAGUGCCAUCCGCUGAGGAUGGCUUUUCCCCAGUGUAUAAAGCUGGAGGAAUAAGGAGAGGGCAAGCCUGGUGUCAGCCGCCGCGGUAAUACCAGCUCUCCGAGUGGUGGGGAUGUUUAUUGGGCCUAAAGCAUUCGUAGCCUGCUUGGCAAGUCCUCCGUUAAAUCCAACGAUUCAAUCGUUGGGCUGCGGGGGAUACUGUCCAGCUAGGGGGCGGGAGAGGCCGACGGUAUCCCCGGGGUAGGGGUGAAAUCCUAUAAUCCCGGGAGGACCACCAGUGGCGAAGGCUGUCGGCUAGAACGCGCUCGACGGUGAGGGAUGAAAGCUGGGGGAGCGAACCGGAUUAGAUACCCGGGUAGUCCCAGCUGUAAACGAUGCAGGCUAGGUGUUGGCGCGGCUACGUGCCGCUCCAGUGCCGCAGGGAAGCCGUUAAGCCUGCCGCCUGGGAAGUACGGCCGCAAGGCUGAAACUUAAAGGAAUUGGCGGGGGAGCACCACAAGGUGUGAAGCUUGCGGUUU
rnacentral:rRNA from 1 species